UGUGAUUUCUUCAUUGAUGGUUUAGUU
rnacentral:piRNA from 1 species